GAAUGACACAUAUUUGUGCAAUCUUUCAUUUUCUAUUUUGUGUAUAUGUAAUUUUAUUUCACCAAAAUCUUGGUUUCUUUCAUGAUAGCUAGGUAUUAGGCCUAUCAUUUGUUGGGUAAGUGCGCCCUCUAUUGGUUGGUUUGGUGGUUACAGGCUGCAUUUUCGUGCCUUGCUCAGUAUGUGUUUUGCUUGGCAACGAGAGAGCUACAUUCUGCAUACUGGAAGAGAAAGUAAAGUGAUUAAAAGAACUUCAGCGUCCUGUGAUAAUUGCACCUGAACACAACGCAGUAGUCGGCGAAGUACAGACCACGCCGGCUACAUUG